AGAGGGGUGCGAGCGUUAAUCGGAAUUACUGGGCGUAAAGGGCGCGUAGGGUGGCUAAUUAAGUCAGAUGUGGAAAUCCCCCGGGCUUAACCUGGGAAUGGCAUAUGAAACUGGUUAGCUAGAGUUUGGGAGAGGGAAGUGGAAUUUCCGGUGUAGCGGUGAAAUGCGUAGAUAUCGGAAGGAACACCAGUGGCGAAGGCGACUUCCUGGCCCGAUACUGACACUGAGGCGCGAAAGCGUGGGGAGCAAACAGGAUUAGAUACCCUGGUAGUCCACGCUGUAAACGAUGAGAACUAGAUGUUAGGGAGCCUAGCUCUUUAGUAUCGCAGCUAACGCACUAAGUUCUCCGCCUGGGGAGUACGGCCGCAAGGUUAA
rnacentral:rRNA from 1 species